rnacentral:rRNA from 1 species
UAUGAACGUUGGCGGCGUGGAUUAGGCAUGCAAGUCGAGCGUGUACCCGCAAGGGGAAAGCGGCAAACGGGGUAGGAACGCGUAGGUCACGUACCCCUCGGCCGGGGAUAGCCACGGGAAACUGUGGGUAAUACCCGAUGACGCCGAGAGGCCAAAGGUGUGAUUCCGCCGGGGGAGCGGCCUGCGUAGUAUUAGCUAGUUGGUGAGGUAACGGCUCACCAAGGCGAAGAUGCUUAGGGGGUGUGAGAGCAUGACCCCCACCACUGGGACUGAGAUACUGCCCAGACACCUACGGGUGGCUGCAGUCGAGAAUCUUCGGCAAUGGGGGCAACCCUGACCGAGCGACGCCGCGUGUGGGAUGAAGGCCCUUGGGUUGUAAACCACUGUCAGAGGGGAUGAAACGAUCAUGGGUUCUCCCAUGGUCCUGACAUAGCCUCAGAGGAAGCACGGGCUAAGUUCGUGCCAGCAGCCGCGGUAAUACGAACUGUGCAAACGUUAUUCGGAAUCACUGGGAC